AGUGAACGCUGGCGGCGUGCUUAACACAUGCAAGUCGAACGAGAACGGAAUAUAGCUUGCUAUAUUUGUCAGCUAAGUGGCGCACGAGUGAGUAAUGUAUAGAUAACCUGCCCUUAAGAAAGGAAUAACAGUUGGAAACGACUGCUAAUGCCCUAUAUGCCUUUAAUACAUAAGUAUGCAAGGGAAACGCUUUAGUGCUUAAAGAUGGGUCUGUAUGGUAUCAGCUUGUUGGUGAGGUAAUGGCUCACCAAGGCUAUGACGCCUAACUGGUUUGAGAGGAUGAUCAGUCACACUGGAACUGAGACACGGUCCAGACUCCUACGGGGGGCAGCAGUGGGGAAUAUUGCACAAUGGACGAAAGUCUGAUGCAGCAACGCCGCGUGGAGGAUGACACAUUUCGGUGCGUAAACUCCUUUUAUAUAGGAAGAUAAUGACGGUACUAUAUGAAUAAGCACCGGCUAACUCCGUGCCAGCCGCCGCGGUAAAAC
rnacentral:rRNA from 1 species